rnacentral:rRNA from 1 species
CGUCUGAUUAGCUAGUUGGUGGGGUAAAGGCCUACCAAGGCGACGAUCAGUAGCCGGCCUGAGAGGGUGAACGGCCACACUGGGACUGAGACACGGCCCAGACUCCUACGGGAGGCAGCAGUGGGGAAUCUUCCGCAAUGGACGAAAGUCUGACGGAGCAACGCCGCGUGUAUGAUGAAGGUCUUCGGAUUGUAAAGUACUGUCUUUGGGGAAGAAUGUCAGGUUUGAAAAUAUUGAGUCUGAAUGACGGUACCCAAGGAGGAA